rnacentral:rRNA from 1 species
AUUGAACGCUGGCGGUAUGCUUAACACAUGCAAGUCGAACGGUAGCAGGCCUUCGGGCGCUGACGAGUGGCGGACGGGUGAGUAACGCGUAGGAAUCUGCCUGGUAGUGGGGGACAACUUAUGGAAACGUAAGCUAAUACCGCAUACGCCCUACGGGGGAAAGCAGGGGAUCUUCGGACCUUGCGCUAUCAGAUGAGCCUGCGUUGGAUUAGCUAGAUGGUGGGGUAAAGGCCUACCAUAGCGACGAUCCAUAGCUGGUCUGAGAGGACGAUCAGCCACACUGGGACUGAGACACGGCCCAGACUCCUACGGGAGGCAGCAGUGGGGAAUAUUGGACAAUGGGCGAAAGCCUGAUCCAGCAAUACCGCGUGUGUGAAGAAGGCCUGAGGGUUGUAAAGCACUUUCAAUAGGAAGGAAUACCUAUCGGUUAAUACCCGGUAGACUGACAUUACCUAUACAAGAAGCACCGGCUAACUCCGUGCCAGCAGCCGCAGUAACAC